rnacentral:rRNA from 1 species
UACGUAGGGUGCAAGCGUUGUCCGGAAUUAUUGGGCGUAAAGAGCUCGUAGGCGGUCUGUUGCGUCGGCUGUGAAAACCCGGGGCUCAACUCCGGACCUGCAGCCGAUACGGGCAGACUAGAGUUCGGCAGGGGAGACUGGAAUUCCUGGUGUAGCGGUGAAAUGCGCAGAUAUCAGGAGGAACACCGGUGGCGAAGGCGGGUCUCUGGGCCGAUACUGACGCUGAGGAGCGAAAGCGUGGGGAGCGAACAGG